UCGGCCAGGAGGUGGCCUUGCUGCACUUGGUUGUCGGCAUCGACCUCGCCUCGGUGUUGCAGCUCGUCUUCCUGCCUCGUGUUAUCGAGAUGGAUCGAUCAAAUCCCCCUGCCGAUGUUACUAAUCAGACGAAAACGAGGCCGAUCUAAUACUGAUCAAAUUGGUGAAGAAAAUAUUGAUCCUCCUGAACUAGCCCUUCAGAAGAGGCGUCAGAAAUAUGCCAGUUUACCUGAGGAGGAAAAGGAAAGGAGGCGUGCAAUGGCGAGAGAGAAUUAUAAACAUCGGAAAGAGAGUGAACGUUGCUUGGGCCCAUCGUCUACUUAUGUUGUCAUAACAACUGAAGCAACACUUGCUCAAAAUGAUGAUCAUCCUGGACAAAGUUCGCCGUGUGGUAAUACUAUUUUUAAGGUCUGAAUAUCUGUAGUAGUUUAUUCUUCUAUAUAUUACUCGGAGUAUAUAUAUCUUUUUCAGUGAUAUACCGGCUUCUAUUCAGGAUGAAAAUAUGAUGUCCAAUAUCAAUUUUAGUGAUACUAAUGAUAUUGGUAUUGCCUCCGAGAAUGGUGACGUGUGGCUCCAAGAAAUGGUUCUGGCAUUUAUACCUUUAAGGUUCAUGGACAGAUAUACCACAAAUUGGAUCAAUUAGUUCCUGGGGGUAACGGACCUCGUCAUAUGCAAUUAUAUUGAUCCCCUCAUCUGGAUACAAGGGUAAUGACGAAUGUGUUGUCUAUACUAAAAGACAAUCCAUAUGUACAUACGUUCAGGUGUUUAGGUGAAACUAAGGCUUUUGAUGAGUAUGCAAUUGAGUUGAACACAAGUAUUUCUGUGGACUAGAGAAGAUAUAAUGCACCCGCAAUGGAGCAAGUGGCAGCUAUAUGGGUUGAUGGAAGUGACAUUAAGCGUAAAUUUGAUCGGAGUAUUAUGUUGCACGGUAAAUCCGGUGAACCAUGCUACAUUAGAGCAUAUUAUGGGUGUUAUGAUCCUUUGGCAUACCCAUUUUUUUAUUCUGGUGGUGAAACUGGUUGGAAAGAUAAAAAGGUGCUGUUGGAAGAAUUUCUUGUGAAACAUUUUCCAAGGGUAAAAAGGAAGUACACGAGACGUAAGAAAUCAGUGUGCAGAUGCCAAAGUCAGUAGCCAGUUCGAGUACACGUAAGAUUAAAACUAAUCAGGCCGACAUUGCAUGCAUAAUUCUAUUGAAAAACGUGAAGGGGACAACGACAAUUAUGAUGAAGAUACUGUUGAAGCUGGUGAUGAUGAACGUAAUGGAUCAAGGCUUCACGUUAGUGCGCGAGAAUAUUAUUGCUAUAUAAUGCAGAUACGAAAUGGGGUGUUUGUGAUAAUGUUUUAUGGUGGUAGGCUUUUUCAACAGUGGAUAGUUGAUAUCUAUAUCAAAGUAGAAUCUAUGCGUCUUGAUUGGCAUUCAAGAUCAGAAAAUCAAGCCAUUAUCCGAGCUGAUCUUUACCAGGGCAUAAUGGACACGCUUGCCACUGGAGAGGUUAAUGGUUUACGUGCUGGAAAAAGGGUUGUCUUAUCUAAAAGUUUUCCUGGUAGUGAUCGUGAUGUGCAGGCAAGAUUUAUGGAUGGAAUGGCUUUGGUUGCUACGUAUGGACGACUAGAUUAUUUUGUCACAUGACUUGCAACCCAUAUUGGCCUGAGAUUACUGAACAAUUGUUGCUUGGACAAAAACCUCAAGACAGACCUGAUAUUGUUGCAAGGGUCUACCAUGCAAAACUUCUUGACUGCUCUGACAUUCAGCCCCAUCAUGCAUGUUUUUACACUUUAUGGAAAAAAUGUUGGUACUAAUAUUAAUAGUUUUGGUUUCAAAAU